UCUCAUUCAAUCCAGGUUUUGUCCCAAAUACUUUCAAACAGGUAGUAUUCUGGGGGUGGGGUGAAGGGCCUCACAAAUGACAAGAGGAUUGGAGAAACUCAAGAGUGGCAGAGAAUUUGAAACCCCGGAUCUACCAAUACCCCUCGAAGAAAAAUGGAAAUAACUUCUAUUAACAGUCAAAUGAGGCUGUCUCUACCACAGGGCAGCUAGCUCCAGAGGGAAAGUGAGCCAACAAUUAGGGACCGAACGGAGAGGGUCUGGGAAUUAGCUUACUAACUCCAAGCUGACAGAUGAGGUAACUGAGACUGGAUCACACACGUCACGCACCGCAAGAUGGGAUUUCAAACCCCAUCAGGACUGGGCCGGCCCGCUCGCUCGCUCGCUCGCUAGCGCGCGCGGAACCCGCCAGCCACCGGGAGAGGUUAAGAACACACCCCUAGCACAGCGCGCAAACUCGCUGGACACCAGGGCCCACUACGGAGAGCCGCCUACGCCCGUCCGCCCGCCGGACACUGCGCCUCGCGGCCUCGGAGAAGGCCGGAAGGAGCCCCGCGGGGGGCCGCUGGACGCCCAAGUCCGCUGCCUUGGCGCCGGGACCCGCCCGCUCUCCUCGGAAACCCAGGGGCCGAGCCUCACCAUCCAGUGGAAGAUGGAGGGUUCCGUACGUGCAGCGCGCAUGGCUUGGCCCUCGCGAGCCACUGUCCCCGCGCAGCACGCGCCCCCACUUGCCACCGCGAUGGCCCGAGCCCUUCCGACUAGACUGCUAGACCCCAGAGGUCCCGCGCGGGGGACCAGACAGUACCUGAGACCGGAGGCGCCUCCGCCAUCCCGUGCCGCAGCACCCCAAGCCAGCCCUGCCACCGAGCCGAGGCUGUCACCUGGUCACGUGCCCCGGAUUUCCGGCACCAAGAGGCUCUUCGCUCCUACGCGCGUACACAUGAAAAGCUGGCAUACAAGACAACAUGAACUACCAAGCCAGGUUGGAGAGGAAAUGGAUUGAAAAGAGAAGGAAAACGUGUUAAGCUACUUGCCUGGUUGCUGUGGCAAAAUACAAAGAACUUUAAAAAGA